GACGAACGCUGGCUGCGUGCUUAACACAUGCAAGUCGAACGCUGAAGCCCCAGCUUGCUGGGGUGGAUGAGUGGCGAACGGGUGAGUAACACGUGAGUAACCUGCCCCUGACUUCGGGAUAAGCCCGGGAAACUGGGUCUAAUACCGGAUACGACUAUCGGACGCAUGUCUGGUGGUGGAAAGUUUUUUCGGUUGGGGAUGGGCUCGCGGCCUAUCAGUUUGUUGGUGAGGUAAUGGCUCACCAAGACGACGAAGGGUAGCCGGCCUGAGAGGGCGAACGGCCACACUGGAAGUGAGAAGGAGGCCAGAUUCCGACGGGAGGCAGCAGUGGCGAAUAUUGCACAAUGAGGGAAAGCCUGAUGCAGCGAGGCAGCGUGAGGGAGAAAGGCUUUUGGGUUGUAUACCGCUAUCGGCAGGGAAGAAGCCAUGGUGUGACGGUACCUACAGAAGAAGUACUGGCUAACUACGUG
rnacentral:rRNA from 1 species